GGCUCAGUGGCGUAAUGGUAUCGCACUCCACAUUCCUAUGUAGUUCACAGUAUGCUUUCACGGAGGGUUUGGAGUUUGAUUCUCCACUGGGCAA